GUCUUCAUUAAUUGAAAGACGGAAUUAAUGAGAAGCACUAUUUAUAAUAACUAGGACCAUAGGGUUGGUUCCACUUAAUCCUAUAUAUCGGGAAAGAACCAACAAAGAAAAUCCGACGGAGCUUAUAAACCGCUUGACGAAAAAUAACGUUCCAACUAAAUAAUAAAAAUAAAAUACGUAAAACAAUUGUUCAAACUUAAAUAAAUAACUAACUAAGGCCUUUCAUCGAACAGCUGGCGUCGCCUAUUUAGCGACGAAGUCUUGAUAGCGAUCUGGCGGUUUGAGCUGCUUCCUCGGCCUCAAGUUCCUUGUCGUGAUCUCUCCAACUCUCUCUGACACUGCUUCCUCCGUCUGCUCCAGCCGUUCCUCCCCUUCUGGCGUCGACGUCUCCAACUCUCCACUCGUCUUUGUCGUCGACGCUGGCUCUACAUCAGGCGAGUUCGAUGGCCGCAGUCAUGACUCCUGCGCCUCCAAUGGACAGUCAGUAUCACUGUCACACUCCCCAGCGUCACCGCCAGUUGCAGCGUCGUAGCACUGCCGGACGCCGCUCGCCGUGCCGCAGCAUAGUUUGUUUGCCUCCGUCCAGCAACCGCCUCUGCUGUUCGCCUAGGCAUUCGUCACUGCCGCCGCUCGAGCAUCCCUCCAUCGGUCGCUGUCUGCCGCCGCUGCGGAGCUGGUCGCUGCCACCGGCGUGCAGCACGAUGAGAGGGCUGGAGACGUUAUUGAUGGUGUUGGUGAGAGCAUAUGAACAAAUUGAAUAUUUUCGUGAUACCACAAGAUUAUAAAAAUAAAUGGAUCAGAUUUGGUCUCUUGUUUGAUCUUUAAAAUUGGUUCGAUAUUGAUCACAACUGCGUGAAGAUAUAGUAUUUAUUUCCUUUUUGUA